rnacentral:rRNA from 1 species
AGAUCCCUGAAAGAUGAUCAGGUUGAUAGGUCUGAGGUGGAAGCGUGGUGACACGUGCAGCUGACAGAUACUAAUCGAUCGAGGACUUAACCA